rnacentral:rRNA from 1 species
UACGAAGGGGGCUAGCGUUGCUCGGAAUGACUGGGCGUAAAGGGCGCGUAGGCGGCGAUCCAAGUUAGGCGUGAAAUCUCCGGGCUUAACCCGGAGCGGCCAAGUGAUACUGUUGUGCUAGAGUGCGGAAGGGGCUACUGGAAUUCUCGGUGUAGCGGUGAAAUGCGUAGAUAUCGAGAGGAACACCUGCGGCGAAGGCGGGUAGCUGGGCCGACACUGACGCUGAGGCGCGAAAGCCAGGGGAGCGAACGGG